rnacentral:rRNA from 1 species
AUUUACAGUCAAACCACCCUGAAGGUGCCUGAUCUUUCUGAUUUCGGAAACUAAGCAGGGACAGGCCUGGUUAGCACUUGGAUGGGAGAAUAUAUCAGCAUGCCAGGACCUCUUGCUGCUGCAAAAA